CUCGACAUUCUCUCCCUCGCAGCCGCUCUCCUCCUCGCAAGCCCACUCUCUCCAUCGCAGAUCUCACUCUCAGAUCUCACUCUCUCCAUCGCAACUCAGAAUCAAGUCUUUGAAUGCUCAAUCAAGGGCACUGCUUAUGCAGAAGCAAUAUCGCUCCGGUGUUGCCACAAGGUUGAUGAGGUUGAUCAUUUGCUGUACUAGAGAUAGAGAAGUAAUUUGUUUCUGUUAUUGCUCUUUUUCAUGCUGGGUUGAUCAUUUGCUGUACUAGAGUUUUGGUUAAUAGUUGCUGUUUUGAACAGAGUUUUGUGGGUGAUUGGAUCAAUACCCAUUUUUUUAGUUUUUUCUUGAUGUGUAUAUUUACAAACAGAUUUUUUGAAAAUUCAUUGGACUCUGAACUCUGAAGAAUAAGAGGUAAUCGGGUAUUCCGAAAACAGUAUUCGGGUCGGGUAAUCGGGUAUCGGCCAAAUCGGGUAAUCGGGUAUCGUAAUAGCCUUGGGGUCGGGUCGGAACAGUGAAAUUCGGGUCGGGUCGGGUGAACAGUCCUAGUAGUAAGUAUCCUUGAAUUUCUGCUUCAGGAGAGAGGAGUCAGAGUCUUGAAGUGUUUUAACUUGGUAUUUUCAUGCCUUCUUGUCCGAACACAAGUCGGCUACUGAAUCUCUCCUCUUCAACAACAUGUUUAGCCCGUCAGGGAACAUCAAUUUUGAUUAAAAGAUCAUGAACAACAUUUGUUGCUUUCCUUUUGGAUCAAGGUCAGUUACAGUGCCUGAUUUGGCACAAAAUUUGAUCAUGCUUCAAUGGCUAACACGAAUGCAAAGCAAAAUUUCAUGUAUCUUUAAGGCUACCAUCAACAAGAGAAGAUACACAUGCAGCACAUCUUGGCAUCUUGCUAUGGAGAUGCGAUAGUCUGCUUUUCAUUGCAGAAGAGGCUACUAAGAAAGCAGAGGCUACUAAGAAAGAUUCUAUGACUGCUGCAUCAAAAGAAAAGCUACAUUGGUUUUGGAUGGGAGGCUUCCAUUUUUUUAUUUGUUUGUUUUGUGUCUUCCCAUGCACGUCUAUAAGCUUGGUAUGUAUGAUCCAGCUGAUCUCUUGCUUUUCUGAGAGAGAGAAUUGUGUGGUUGUGGACUAUGUCAUUUCUGUCUCCAAAGGAAGUCUAGUAUGAUGACUGCAAGGAGUUGGAAAGGGUGUAUAUCUAUGUCUUUUAGCCCCAACUCCUUCCCUGGAUUUAA